CCCUUAGAUGUCCUGGGCCGCACGCGCGCUACACUGAUGCAUUCAACGAGUAUUUCCUUGGCCGAGAGGCCUGGGCAAUCUUUUAAACCUGCAUCGUGAUAGGGAUAGAUUAUUGCAAUUAUUAAUCUUGAACGAGGAAUUCCUAGUAAACGCAAAUCAUCAAUUUGCAUUGAUUACGUCCCUGCCCUUUGUACACACCGUCCGUCGCACCUACCGAUUGAAUGGUCCGGUGAAAUCUCGGGAUUGUGGCCAGUUCACUUUAUUGGGAGUUGGCUGCGAGAACUUGCUUAAACCUUAUCAUUUAGAGGAAGGUGAAGUCGUAACA
rnacentral:rRNA from 1 species